ACCAAUCCUUUUAUUUUUCCAGAUUGCUCCUGCCUCCACGCCGGAAACUAAAUGUUUCCAGAAAAUGUUAAAAAAAAUUUCCUCCACGCGUCCCAGAAGAUACACUAUGGCGGUCACUGGAGGACCAACAAAUAGAACAACCGGAGCUGUUGUUAUUGCUGCUUCAAUGACGGCCGGAACUACGAGAAUUACGAUUAAAGAAAUUGAACCAUGUAGAUUCAAUAACAUAAUCAUUUUUAAAGAAAAACAAGCACCAAUUGCCGAUUCCGUCAUUUUCGCGGUCAAUCUUAACCCGUGUUGAUUUUGAUCGUUGGGAGAAAAAGUUAAUUAUUAAUUUAACACUACAACUUUUUAUAAUUACUAGAUCCAUUAAAUAAAAUACAAUUUAUAUCUUAUGUGCCAAAUUUUGGACGACUCAGCGGUUGUAAAACACAUAGAUUUAAAAAAUUGGACCAUUUAGAUUCAAUAAAUUAAUCAUAUUUAAAGAAAAACAAGCACCAAUUGCCGAUUCCGUCUGUUUUCGGUCAAUCUUAACGAGUGUCGAUUUUGAUCGUUGUGGGAAAAAGUUAAUUAUUAAUUU
rnacentral:lncRNA from 1 species